rnacentral:rRNA from 1 species
UACGUAGGGGGCAAGCGUUAUCCAGAUUUACUGGGCGUAAAGCGCGUGUAGGCGGCUGGUUAGGUGUGAUGUGAAAUCUUCCGGCUCAACCGGAAAACUGCAUUGCAAACCGGCCUGGCUAGAGUGCAGGAGAGGGAAGCGGAAUUCCAGGUGUAGCGGUGAAAUGCGUAGAUAUCAGGAGGAACACCGGUGGUGUAGACGGCUUUCUGGACCGUAACUGACGCUGAGACACGAAAGCGUGGGUAGCAAACAGG